GCGCCUGUAGCUCAAUUGGAUAGAGCAACAGCCUUCUAAGCUGUAGGUUCCUGGUUCGACUCCAGGCAGGCGCACCA
rnacentral:tRNA from 1 species